GCUUACAGCCAUACCACCCUGAGCGCACCUCAUCUUGUCUGAUUUCAGAAGCUCAGCAGGAUAGGGGCUUGGUUUUAUACUUGAACUGCCUGAAAAUACCAGGUACUUAGCA
rnacentral:rRNA from 1 species